rnacentral:lncRNA from 1 species
GCUGUUGGCUUGCCCUGGGGUCCCUCUAAUUCUCUUCUUCCUUGGUCUUAAAAUGGAUGGCUUCAACAACCCAAAAGCCAUCAACUGUUUACCAGACAUACCAUGAGUGAUUGCAGACCGCAGAGGUAUCCCACUAUUUAUGCCAUAAGGACUCUGGGGGUCCCCUCCGGCCUCCCCUCCGGCCUCCCCGUCGUCCUCACUGUUCGUUCAGAAAGGACUUUGGGGACCCUCCCCUUUCAUUACACCUUUUCCCACUCAGGAAUCAGGUUUUGUUUUCCAAUUCAGACAGCGUCCUUUUCAUUAUUGUCCUCUCAUUCUGACUUCUGAGAUGAUUGUUUCAUAAAUAUAUUCCAUUCUUUAGUGAAAGGAAGAAACAGGUAUUUUAAGUUAGGAAAAUGAUGGUACUUUCACUUCCAAAGCUUCCCUUUCUUCUUAUUCUCGCAUCCUUAUUAGCCAAUUAGCAGUAUGAACAAUGCUCAUGUCAGUGCUCUAUUAGUUUUAACAAGGUUACAUUGACAAGUAUUAUAGGCUUCCUUUGGGAUCAUACUUGAAGCAUUUAUGAAGGGUUUUCGUGGUUUAGAGAGAGAUUCAGGGAUUCGUGAAGGAUUGCCCUUGCCAGUGCCGAGCGAAUAGCAUAAUGAAAUGCUUAGAAAUACAGCAACAGGGAAAGAAAAAUGCUUUCCUUUUCUAUCAAACAGAAUUUUAUUACAGGUCAAAGCACAUAGCCACUUGCAACAUACUGAUUAAGCUAAAGCUUGUACUUGGGUGAGGGAGGAGCCUCAGUUCUCAACGAAUGAUGAUGAUGAUGAUUAGACUGGUAAUCGCUGCCUCCGAUUAUCACCCAAGUCAACAAUACAGGAUUUUCACUGUUCUUUCUAUAGUGUAAUGGUAGGUGAAAUACAGAAUAAUCACCAAUUGCCCAAGUGUAUAUGCUUUGCACACAGUAGGUCUUUACAAGGUUCUUGGCUCUUGCUCUUGUUCCCGCGUGCGCAUGUUGGGCGGAUGGAGGGGGAAUUAUUCGAUGCUUAACAAUUAGUAAACAAGAGAAAAUGCCAUGAUUGCUCAGUGUUUUCCGCUCAUCUGAUCAUAACCGUUCAUCAAGUGACACUGAACCCCACAAACGACUGAAGACUACAAAUGAGCUAAGGACGUCAACUGACAAGUAAGCAUGGACAGACCACUCCUUGAAUCCGUUCCUCAAAAAGCCUGAGUUGGGCUACGGUGCAGACCUUUUUGGUCCCUUGGCGAUUCUGAGGCUAUUUAUCCCCAGGUUGCUCAUUCAAGGUUUUGCAUGAAACAAAGGCAGCAAUGGAUUUAAUUUGCAUACUGUAUAUUAGGGUCAUUUUUAAAAAAGUUUUAGUUCACAAAUUUCACAAUUUGAUGUAAAACGCAGCACUGUGAAGGACUGAUAUUAAAAAUUUCAGGCCCUCCAAAUAAACCAGUAAUCAAAUUGAAUGUACUGUACAUCGCAACCCCCUUCCAGACCCAAAAUUUGAUCAGAGAUUGAUAGUCACAUAUGCAUGUGCGGUGAUCUUUUGUUUUCUUAAUUUACGCCUUCUCCUUAGCUGGUGUUGGUAUCAGAUGAUGCAAUGUUGCUGCCUGGAUAACAGCACUUGGACUUGGAUCCUUAACUCGAUAUGACCCUGACCGCCUAAGAUUGAAAUUCCUGUCCACUCCACUAGGUAUUAAGUUCCGCAAUGGCCAUGGAAGGUGCCGCAUCAGUCUUGUUGAACUUACAAGCAAAAUCACACCCAUCAUGAUGAAUAACCUGCAACAGGAAUAUCUCAGGUAAACUGCAAUUUCAAGGCAA